rnacentral:rRNA from 1 species
UACGAAGGGGGCUAGCGUCGCUCGGAAUCACUGGGCGUAAAGGGCGCGUAGGCGGCCAUUCAAGUCAGAGGUGAAAGCCCAAGGCUCAACCUUGGAACUGCCUUUGAUACUGUUUGGCUUGAGACCGGUAGAGGUAAGUGGAACUGCGAGUGUAGAGGUGAAAUUCGUAGAUAUUCGCAAGAACACCAGUGGCGAAGGCGGCUUACUGGACCGGUUCUGACGCUGAGGCGCGAAAGCGUGGGGAGCAAACAGG